ACCGUGGCCAGGCGCGUCUCCUCCAGCUGCUGCAGCCUGCGCACGUGGCUCGCGAGCAGCGGCUGCUGUCGGGGUCCGGUCAGCUCCGCCUCCACCGCCAGCACUUCCCGAGAGGCGGCGGUGAAAGCCUGGGUCACCUCGUGUACCGUGCUCCGGUAGCGCGGGAAGUCGUAAGGCGGGCCGCUGCUCAGGUACUGGCGGUGGCCUCUGUGGCAGGUGGGGGUCCUGAGGCUACGGUCCCAGCUCUCAGUCCCUGCACCCGAAUCGACCACCUGAAAGCCCCCCAAGAAGUGUCCCUGCCCUGGACCCCAGAGUAUGGAGGACGUUGUUCCCAGAUUCUUCCCACGGCGCACCCGUCCCGCGAGCGGGCUGGGUGCUGAACCUUGCGACUUCUCCUUUCCCCUACGCCCACACUUACUCCUCCAGCCGACGGAAGGCCUGCGCGCGCUCAGCCUGCAACUGGUGGAUGCGCUGUACCAGCACCCGGAUCGGGGCAUCUUUCUAUGGGGCGGGGGGCAGGGCUGGGGCAUGAAAACGGCGCCCUCGGGCCUGCACCGCCCACCCCAUGCCUGUUCCCGCUCGGGCUCGAGCUCACCCAAGGCCACACCAGCUCCUCUCUUUCCGGGCCUCCCGUGUUAUCCGCAGCCUCAGGAACCGCGGAGACAGCCGACUCUGCCGCGGCCUCGGCGGUGAUCAUGACUGCGCAGCCCUGGCCCCGCCCGGGAGCAGGUUGCAUCGCUGCGCCAGGCGCCCCCUGGAGGCCCGGAGGCUUCUAGACCCAGCCUGCGGCAGGAAAAACUUGAGCGAUCCUGGGGAAGACUGGGAAGCGAAGACAGCCAGCUUCUCUGUCCUGACACUCUCCAAGCACCCCCCACUCCCUUGUUUCCGUCCAGCGCCUGCCUUCUUAACAUUUUUGAUCUUGAAAUGUACAGGUUCACUAUA